rnacentral:lncRNA from 1 species
CUAGGAUAAAGCCUCACAUUCGGUCUGGAGUUUGUGGACAAAGCUAAAGAGAAAACAAACACUCCGGGAAGCAUCUGUGUCUAUGCAGACUCAAGACAGAAUCCCAGUCUCCUGUCCUUGGUGAACAGCCCCUUUAUCGUAGCAGGGCCUGUUCUGGAGAUGAGAGAACAAAUAGAAAUCAUAUAGAACUUGAAGUGGAGGAGGAGAAGACAAGGCUACUGGAGCGUGGACACCAGAGUUGGGUAAACUCUCCCAGAUAACAGGCCAUGAAAGAAAGGAGAACUCCAGGAAGCACUUUCAUUGUCAACCGGAGCUCUUCUUUCUUUUUCCUCUUCUUUUUCAUUUCUACACCUGUCUGAUACACUCAAGAGCCAAACUCAGAGUUCCGAUGGCACCAGUGAGUUUCCCUGUCUGAAGAGAUAGAGAAAAUGUUCCCAUGUCUUGCCUGUCAUCGACCCAGGUUCUCACACCGACUUUAAAUCUUUCCCUCAGUCUACACUGAAUAACCAUAUGACGCAAACGAGUGAGGAACUGAGCCAUCAGGUAAACAAGGGAUUGGGUUAUUAUUCCAAUAGCAGCCUUGGAAAGUCAAUC